GGCACUCGAGUCGGUUUUAGGCUUUGCAUUUUGUACUAUCUUUCGCUCUUUAGGGUUUAGAAACUACAUUGGCACUCAAGUCGGCUUUAGGCUUGACAUUUCGUACUAUCUUUUGCUCUCUAGGGUUUUGAAACUACAUUUCAAAGCUAGAUCUACUAUUCUUUUGCAAUAAAUUAAUGCUGAAGUUCAAUCCCCAAAUCAAGAAGUUCUUCUUCUUCGUCUUUUUCUUCUUGUUAGCUUUUAUUAGAGUCUAAAAUCAAGAGUUCAAAAUAUUGGAGCCUCUAAAACACAAUCGACUUGAUUGUGAUCAAGUCAAAAUCCUUUCUUUUUGGGUUCUAUUUUAUGUAUUUCCACAUUGAUUCCAUCUUGAUUUAUGUAAGAGAUUAGUGAUUUUGGAGCGUUCAAAAUAUGAUCUACUUAAUUGAGGUACUUAAUUGAGAGCUUGAAAUCAAGGCUUCAAAGGAAUGGAGUCUAGAAAACACGAUCUACUUGAUUUUGGUAAGUUUGACUUCUUUUUCUAUUUUUAAUUUUGUUGGUUUGAUUUUCUGUUGAUUUAUAUAGAAAUUAUCCUUCUAAAGUAGGUGUGUGUGUGUGUGUUGUUUUUGUUGUUGUUGUUGUUGUUUUUUUUUUUUAAGAACGUGUAAGAGAUAAGAAAUUCACAUGAUAUCAUUCAUUGCAGUUCCUAAGAAACGUUAUAGAGCCAUUAUAAAAUCAUUGCAUCCAUAGCCAGACAAGGCACUCGAGUCGGUUUUAGGCUUUGCAUUUUGUACUAUCUUUUGCUCUCUAGGGUUUAGAAACUACAUUAAUUGGCAUUCGAGUCGGCUUUAGGCUUGACAUUUUGUACUAUCUUCCGCUCUCUAGGGUUUAGACACUACAUUUCAAAGCUAGAUCUACUAUUCUUUUGCAAUAAAUUAAUCCUAAAGUUCAAUCCCCAAAUCAAGAACUUCUUCUUCUUCUUCUUUGCUUUUAUUAGAGUCUAAAAUCAGGAGUUCGAAAGAUUAGAGCUUUUAAAAGACAAUCGACUUGAUUGUGAUAAACUCGAAAUCCUUUUUUUUUUUUUUCUAUUUUAUGUUUUUACGCAUUGAUUCCAUCUUGAUUUAUGUAAGAGAUUAGUGAUUUUGGAGCGCUCAAAAUAUGAUCUACUUAAUUGAGGUGCUUAAUUGAGGUAUAGUAUGUCUCUCUCUCUCUCUCUCUCUCUCUCUCUCUCUCUCUCUCCACCCCCCUUUUUCUUUUUUUAGCUUUUUUCUAUCAUUUCCUCUUGAUUAAUACAACUUUUUGCUUUGAUUAGAGCUUGACACCAAGGCUUCAAAGGAAUGGAGUCUAGAAAGCACCAUCUACUUGAUUGUGGUUUUUAAGCAGGAUAAAUUUAUAUAGAGAUCAAGAAUCUAUUUGGAUACUAGAAGUAAGAUUUAGUUCCCUCUCUCGAAAUUUCUUAAUGCGCUCUGCUAUUGUCCUUUAUUUUUUAAAAAACCACCACUAUUGGUAGCAAUCCUUCGUGCAAACUUACCAUGGACCCCUAAUUCUACAAUAAGGUAUGAUUUUCUCACAUCCUUGUUGAUGUUGUGAUUGUGUUAGAAAAAUAUUAAGUUCAUAGUACCAUUAACUAUCUAACAACCAAAGCUGCCAAACUAUUUACAUAUAUAAUAACUGCUUUUAUAUUCUUUGGCGAACCCUUUAAAAUUUUUUAGCAUAUAUUUUGUUUACAUGUAUAAUCUGUAGAUGCAUUCUAAAUCCUGCCUAAGCACCCAUUUAUCCAAGCUAACUCCCACUUUAAAAUUGAUACAUGCACCCUUUUAACCACUGUGUUCGAAUCAGCACAACCAUCACCAUGGCCACCAUCUAUUUGAAUAAAUAAAUAUUGUGAUGCCAAAUUCCAUAGGAUUCUAUUUGAAUGAUAAAGCAAUUGAAAUAUUGUAAGAGUUGUUAUUUUCCCUAAAGAUAUUUAUUGUGUUCCUUUUGGAAGGUUGAUUGAGAGUUUAUGGGUGUGAUGGAAUAGUUUCAACUCAGAGAUGAAGAGCAUCCGAUAGGCUUUGCUGUAGCUUUUGGGCCAUCCUCAUUUCUUAUAGCAUAAAAGAGUAAACAGAGAUUAUUCAUAUUAUGUAAUGAGUUUUGCUUCUAUGGGGGGAAGUAUAAUUGCAUGCAAUUGAAUUUUACUUUUUUUUCAAUUCCUAUGUCUAGGAACUUUUCUUCUAGGAUAUUUAGAUUAUAUGCUUUUGAUUUUAGAGUUUGCUAAAGUAUUCCAAUUUUUUUUUUCUUUUCCGGAGGAGGAGAAAGAUUGCUGGAUGUCGAAGGAAACUCCACCACAUAGUAAGAGACAAGUGGAUGAUGGAAAUUAUGGGAAGAUAAGGCAAACAAAAUCUUAAUAUUUCUAGCUCGAGAUAAGCUUCUCAAAGGUUUGGCUUUAUACUUAAUUCUCAUUUCACAAGAUGAACUUCCUCGUAUCUUACUUAAUUUUUAAUUUAAGUGGAAGCAUUACUUAAAUAGCUCCCUCGUCAUGCCUUUCAUUUUAUUGUAAUGGUGGCCAAAUAUGGUAUGUUUCUACAGUUUUUGUGGCUCCUAGGUGUUUAAUUAUGCAGUGUUCCAUUGACAUAUCUAAAGAAAGGUGAUGACUUUCCACUUACUAUUGCUUGUGUUCAUAUCUUUCUAAGGGUUGCCACAAAGGUGUCUUUGCUUGUCAUACUUUCAAGAGAAAAUGAACAUGUGCAGGUAGGAGAACAUUAUAAGCACAAGGAAUAUCAUGAAAUGCCCAUCUUGCCUAGAUGACAUAUCUAAAUUUAUAAAAAGUCUUUAGGUAUGAUUGGCAAAUCUAUUAAACUUCCAUUUUUAUAAGGAUGAGGCAUGGCUGCGCAUGUCUUCAAGGUCUCUCCAACAUCUGCAUGCAAAAUGAGCAGUUCAAAUUCUCACGAAAAAUAUCAAGAAUCUCGUUGCUUUUGUUCUUCCUUUCCUCCUUCUCGAUUUCCAAUGACCCUAAGCCACCACUCACAAGAUGUUGUCGUUUGCGGGCCUUCUCUUGCUCGGAGAGUGACCGGUCGGACUCGAUCACGCGAAUUACUGCGAUUAGCUCGCCGCUGGGGGACUCGACUUCGACACAGACCGGCGCCAGAUUGGGAUCAAUAGGAAGGGGGCAGCAGUCGGGGCACUCCCACUGAAGAGCAUCGGCUAGCAUCUGGGGAUGAAGGAGGGAGAGGCAUUGCACGUGCCAGGGAGUAGCACAUGUCUGGCAUGCGAGGAUGUCCUCAGGCGACGGCUUCUCCUUGCAGAUCAUGCAAAUGCCGUUGCCAUCACAGGGGAGUUGUCUAUCAUGUGCCAUGGGAGUGAACGAUAAGCAGGGAUGUUCGAGGAUGGUGAUUGCGAGUAAUUAGCUAAGUAGGGUUUGAUGGGAAAUGCAGAACUGCGUGUGAUUAGUAUAUAUAUUGUUGCAACAAUGGUGAUGAAUGAAGAUGAGGACAAGAGGUGGAGAUUUGAAAAAAUAUAUAAGAUUUUUUGUUUU